rnacentral:rRNA from 1 species
CAGGUGCGAAAGCAGGUCAUAGUGAUCCGGUGGUUCUGAAUGGAAGGGCCAUCGCUCAACGGAUAAAAGGUACUCCGGGGAUAACAGGCUGAUACCGCCCAAGAGUUCAUAUCGACGGCGGUGUUUGGCACCUCGAUGUCGGCUCAUCACAUCCUGGGGCUGAAGUAGGUCCCAAGGGUAUGGCUGUUCGCCAUUUAAAGUGGUACGCGAGCUGGGUUUAGAACGUCGUGAGACAGUUCGGUCCCUAUCUGCCGUGGGCGCUGGAGAACUGAGGGGGGCUGCUCCUAGUACGAGAGGACCGGAGUGGACGCAUCACUGGUGUUCGGGUUGUCAUGCCAAUGGCACUGCCCGGUAGCUAAAUGCGGAAGAGAUAAGUGCUGAAAGCAUCUAAGCACGAAACUUGCCCCGA